CCUACGGGCGGCUGCAGUCGAGAAUCUUCGGCAAUGGGCGCAAGCCUGACCGAGCGACGCCGCGUGCGGGAUGAAGGCCCUUGGGUUGUAAACCGCUGUCGGGGGGGAUGAAACCGCAAGGUUGACAGAGCCCCGGAGGAAGCACGGGCUAAGUUCGUGCCAGCAGCCGCGGUAAUACGAACUGUGCGAACGUUAUUCGGAAUCACUGGGCUUACAGGGUGCGUAGGCUGCGAUGCAAGUCAGGUGUGAAAGCCCACGGCUCAACCGUGGAAUGG
rnacentral:rRNA from 1 species